CCUACGGGCGGCAGCAGUGGGGAAUAUUGGGCAAUGGGCGCAAGCCUGACCCAGCAACGCCGCGUGAAGGAAGAAGGCUUUCGGGUUGUAAAAUUCUUUUGUCAGGGACGAAGCAAGUGACGGUACCUGACGAAUAAGCCACGGCUAACUACGUGCCAGCAGCCGAGGUAAUAAGUAGGUGGCAAGCGUUAUCCGGAUUUAUGGGGGGUAAAGGGCGUGUAGGCGGGAAUGCAAGUCAGAUGUGAAAACUAUGGGCUCAACCCAUAGCCUGCAUUUGAAACUGUAUUUCUUGAGUGCUGGAGAGGCAAUCGGAAUUCCGUGUGUAGCGGUGAAAUGCGUAGAUAUACGGAGGAACACCAGUGGCGAAGGCGGAUUGCUGUACAGUAACUGCCGCUGAGGCGCGAAAGCGUGGGGAGCAAACAGGAUUAGAUACCCUUGUAGUC
rnacentral:rRNA from 1 species